rnacentral:rRNA from 1 species
AUUGAACGCUAGCGGGUGGCUUAACACAUGCAAGUCGAGGGGUAUUGUAGCAAUACAUUAGACCGGCGCACGGGUGAGUAACGCGUAUGCAACCUGCCGUUAACCGGGGGAUAGCCCGUCGAAAGGCGGAUUAAUACCCCAUAAUAUUGGGAUUCUGCAUGGGAUUUCAAUUAAAGCUGAGGUGGUUAACGAUGGGCAUGCGUGACAUUAGCUAGUUGGUAGGGUAACGGCCUACCAAGGCUACGAUGUCUAGGGGUUCUGAGAGGAAGGUCCCCCACACUGGUACUGCGACCCGGACCAGACUCCUACGGGAGGCAGCAGUGAGGAAUAUUGGUCAAUGGGCGAGAGCCUGAACCAGCCAUCCCGCGUGCAGGAAGACGGCCCUAUGGGUUGUAAACUGCUUUUGCGCAUGAAGAAUGUUACCGACGUGUCGGUAAGUGACGGUAAUGCGUGAAUAAGCAUCGGCUAACUCCGUGCCAGCCGCCGCCGUAAUAC